rnacentral:rRNA from 1 species
GCUCGGAAGGGAUAACCGCUGAAGGCAUCUAAGUGGGAAGCCUGCCCCGAGAUUAAGUCUCCCGAACCAUAAGGUUCCUAAAGGUCCCUGGAAGACUACCAGGUUGAUAGGCCCAAGGUGUAAUCUCAGUAAUGAGUUUAGCUGAUGGGUACUAACUGACCGUGAGCCUUAACUGC